rfam:Bombyx mori DNA, contig: Bm_scaf80_contig32799, strain: p50T/Dazao, build 2, whole genome shotgun sequence.
AUACUAACCUUGCGUAGGGUGUACCGUGAUCAGGAUGGCGGUUGCCCCGGGCUGGUUCCGGUCAUUGCACUGCGAUCGGGUCGAACCAGUCUGUGACUAUCUCAUUUAAGAGGUACGUCGUACGUGCAAUUUUUGGUAGUCGGACAUGCGUACUGCGCAGUCCUU